rnacentral:rRNA from 1 species
UAUUUAAGGAUAUCAAUUAUUUACUUUUUUCUUUUUGAUUUCUAAUUUUUAGGGGGAUAAGCUCUUAUUUUUAUUAUAAUUUUUUUUUUAUUUUUUAUUUGUAGGAUUAGUAUUUUCCAACAUUUUAAUUUUUUAAAAAAUUGUUUUUUUAUUGUUUUUUUAUUUAAUUUUUUAUUGGGCUUUAUUAUUAAACUUUUUUUAUUUUAACAAUGAUUUAAUUAGUAAAAUUAAAACUUUUUUUUAUGAACUCGGCAAGAUUUAUUUUCGCCUGUUUAUCAAAAACAUGUCUUCUAGUUUUUUUUGGAGGUCUGGCCUGCUCAAUGAUAAUUUUAAAUAGCCGCAGUAUUUUAACUGUGCAAAGGUAGCAUAAUAAUUAGUCUUUUAAUUGAGGUCUGGAAUGAAUGGUUAAACGGAAAAUACACUUUAUUUAUUAAAUUUUUUUGAAUUUAUUUUUUGAGUUAAAAUUCUCAAAUUUUUUAAAGGGACGAUAAGACCCUAUAGAUCUUUAAAAUAUAUUAUUUUUUUUUUUUUUUGUUGUUUUAAAUAAAAGUUUUUUUGAAUUUUUUGGGUUGGGGGGAAAACCAAAAUUUAAAACUUUGUUUUUUUUUACCUUUAAUUAAGGGUUUUUGGAACCCUUUAUUAUGGAUUUAAAAAAAAAAAACCCUUAGGGAAAACAGCGUUUUUUUUUUGGAAAGUUCUUACCAAAAAUAAAUUUUGCAACCCCAAUUUGGAUUAAUUUGGUUUGUGGGAAAG